UGGGGAAUAUUGGACAAUGGGGGAAACCCUGAUCCAGCGACGCCGCGUGUGUGAAGAAGGCCUGCGGGUUGUAAAGCACUUUUAGUGGGGACAAAAAGCCAGGGGCUAACACCAUCUGGUCUUGAUUUAACCCACAGAAAAAGCACCGGCUAACUCUGUGCCAGCAGCCGCGGUAAUACAGAGGGUGCAAGCGUUAAUCGGAAUUACUGGGCGUAAAGCGCGCGUAGACGGUUUUGUAAGUCAGAUGUGAAAUCCCCGGGCUCAACCUGGGAACUGCAUUUGAUACAGCUUGGCUAGAGUACGGUAGAGGGAAGUGGAAUUUCCGGUGUAGCGGUGAAAUGCGUAGAUAUCGGAAGGAACACCAGUGGCGAAAGCGACUUCCUGGACCAGUACUGACGUUCAUGUGCGAAAGCGUGGGGAGCAAACA
rnacentral:rRNA from 1 species